rnacentral:tRNA from 1 species
GAGGGUAUAGAGCACAUGCUUGGCAUGCAUGAAGUCCUGGGUUCAAUCCUCAGUACCUCCA